CCGCGCCUGAAUAUAUAGGGCGUGUGGAGGGAACGUGGGGAAGUGAAACAUCUCAGUACCCACAGGAAGAGAAAACAACAUGUGAUUCCGUGAGUAGUGGCGAGCGAAAGCGGAAGAGGCUAAACCGGGCACAUGCGAUACCCGGCAGGGGUUGUGUGUUCGGGGUUGUGGGGUUCGAUGUGUCGGUGCUGCCGCACCGGCCGACAGUGAGAAAUCGCCUGUGUUAGUCGAAGUGGUCUGGAACGGCCCGUCGUAGAGGGUGAGAAUCCCGUAGACGAAAACACGGUGACUGUCGAUUCGGAUACCCGAGUAGCAGCGGGCCCGUGAAAUCUGCUGUGAAUCUGUCGGGACCACCCGAUAAGCCUGAAUACUCCCUGGUGACCGAUAGCGGACUAGUACCGUGAGGGAAAGGUGAAAAGUACCCCGGGAGG
rnacentral:rRNA from 1 species